rnacentral:lncRNA from 1 species
AUGCUCCUUCUGAAGGCACCAAAGAAAGACCUGUUCCUGGUCUCUCUCCUAGCAUCUGGGAGUUCCUUAACUUGUAGCAACAUAAUUUCAAUCUUCAUGUGGCAUUCUCCCUAUGUGUGUGUCUCUGAGUCCAAACAUCCUGUUUUAUUUUAUUUUUUUCUUUUUGAGACUAAGUCUUGCUCUGUUGCCCAGGCUGGAGUGCAGUGGUGUGAUCUCAGCUCACUGCAACCUCUGCCUCCCAGGUUCAAGCAAUUCUCCUGCCUCAGUCUCCUGAGUAGCUGGGGAAGUUUUCUUUUUUAGUUGAGUCUCUGCCUGGUUUUGGUAUCAGGAUGAUGUUGUUCUCAUAAAAUGAGUUAGGGAGGAUUCCCUCCUUUUGUAUUGUUUGAUACAGUUUCUUUCUUUCUUUUGUUUUUUGGGAGGAAGGGAGGAAGGCAGGAAGGGAGGGAAGGAGGAAGGGAGGGAGGAAGGAAGGGAUGAAGGAAGGAAGGAAGGGAGAAAGGGGGGAGGGAGGGAGGGAGGGAAGGGAAGGAAGGAAAUCAAGCAAUGAGAGAGACAUUGCCAACCUGGAUCUAGAGGUUUACAAGUUGAUUUCUUUUUUUUGAGAGAAGGAAAGAAAAAAAAAUGAGUAAAGGAGAGGAAGAAAGAGGAAGAGAAAGAGGGAGGGUGAAUGGAAAUAUUGCUUUAUUCUGAAAAAAAAUGGGUAUUAAUAAUGGCCAAUCAAUGUUUCAUUUAAACGUAUGAGUAGGUGUGAUGUGGUAUUGACAAGAAUGUAUAUUUUGUGUAUUUGAAGUGGAGAGCUCUAUAAAUAUUUAUUAAGUUUACUUGUUCCGGAUCUGAGUUCAAGUCCUUGAUAUCCUUAUUAAUUUUCUGUCUCAUUGAAUCUAAGUCUCUAUGUAUCUGGGUGUUAGGAUCAUUAGCUCUUGUUGUUGCAUUGAUCCUUUUACCACUAUAUCUUUGUUGCUUUAAAAUCUAUUUUAUCUGAUAUGAGAAUGGCAACUCCUGCUUUUUAUUUAUUUAUUGAUUGAUUUUUGCUCUCCAUUUGGUUGGUAAAUCUUUCUCCAUCCGUUUGUUUUGAGUCUUUGUGUAUCCUUGCAUGUGAAACAGGUCUGGAUAUAACAUGCCUUUGGGUUUUGGCUGUGUCUUUUGAUUGGGGGAUUUAGUCGAUUUAAAUUUAGGGUUACUGCCAUUUGAUGUUGACUGGCUGUUUUAUCCAUUCAUUGAUGUAAAUUCUUCUUUAUGUUGGUGCUCUUUACUUUUUGAUAUAUUUUUAGAAAUGCUAAUACUGGUUGUUUCUUUCUGUGUGUAAUGCUUCUUUCAGAAGCUCUUGUAAAGCAGGCCUGGUAGUAAUAAAAUCUCUGAGUACUUGCUUGUUCAUAAAAGAUUUUAU